rnacentral:rRNA from 1 species
CGGGGAGUUUUUUGCCUCUAGGUGGGAUUAGUGGCGAACGGGUGAGUAACACGUGAGCAACCUGCCCCUGACUCUGGGAUAAGCGCUGGAAACGGCGUCUAAUACUGGAUAUGUCCCAUCACCGCAUGGUGUGUGGGUGGAAAGAUUUAUCGGUUGGGGAUGGGCUCGCGGCCUAUCAGCUUGUUGGUGAGGUAAUGGCUCACCAAGGCGUCGACGGGUAGCCGGCCUGAGAGGGUGACCGGCCACACUGGGACUGAGACACGGCCCAGACUCCUACGGGAGGCAGCAGUGGGGAAUAUUGCACAAUGGGCGAAAGCCUGAUGCAGCAACGCCGCGUGAGGGAUGACGGCCUUCGGGUUGUAAACCUCUUUUAGCAGGGAAGAAGCGAAAGUGACGGUACCUGCAGAAAAAGCACCGGCUAACUACGUGCCAGCAGCCGCGGUAAUACGUAGGGUGCAAGCGUUAUCCGGAAUUAUUGGGCGUAAAGAGCUCGUAGGCGGUCUGUCGCGUCUGCUGUGAAAUCCCGAGGCUCAACCUCGGGGCUUGCAGUGGGUACGGGCAGACUAGAGUGCGGUAGGGGGAGAUUGGAAAUUCCUGGUGUAGCGGUGGAGUGCGCAGAUAUCAGGAGGGAACACCGAUGGCGAAGGGCAGAUCUCUGGGCCGUAACUGACGCUGAGGAGCGAAAGGGUGGGGAGCAAACAGGCUUAGAUACCCUGGUAGUCCCACCCCGUAAACGUUGGGAACUAGUUGUGGGGUCCUUUCCACGGAUUCCGUGACGCAGCUAACGCACUAAGUUCCCCGCCUGGGGAGUACGGCCGCAAGGCUAUAACUCAAAGGAAUAGACGGGGACCCGCACAAGCGGCGGAGCAUGCGGAUUAAUUCGAUGCAACGCGAAGAACCUUACCAAGGCUUGACAUACGCGAGAACGGGCCAGAAAUGGUCAACUCUUUGGACACUCGUGAACAGGUGGUGCAUGGUUGUCGUCAGCUCGUGUCGUGAGAUGUUGGGUUAAGUCCCGCAACGAGCGCAACCCUCGUUCUAUGUUGCCAGCACGUAAUGGUGGGAACUCAUGGGAUACUGCCGGGGUCAACUCGGAGGAAGGUGGGGAUGACGUCAAAUCAUCAUGCCCCUUAUGUCUUGGGCUUCACGCAUGCUACAAUGGCCGGUACAAUGGGCUGCGAUACCGUAAGGUGGAGCGAAUCCCAAAAAGCCGGUCCCAGUUCGGAUUGAGGUCUGCAACUCGACCUCAUGAAGUCGGAGUCGCUAGUAAUCGCAGAUCAGCAACGCUGCGGUGAAUACGUUCCCGGGUCUUGUACACACCGCCCGUCACAGUCUAUGAAAAAAAUUACUGGGU